GUGCAUUGAAAACAAAUGACAAAAUUCUGCAGAAACUUGUACGUUUUGUGCUCUCAUUCAGUAAGGUGGACCAGCACCAUAAGGUUAACUAAAUAUUCUUAAAGGAACACUCCAAACACCAUAGCUACUAUAGCGUGCUUGUUUGUGAGUGGUUUGGCAACUCACCUAGGAUCUGGGCAUUGAUCGCAGCCUUCAGUAGAGCCAAAAGCUUCUGCUGGCUAACAGUUUG